rnacentral:rRNA from 1 species
CAAAAACAUGGUUUUUUGGGAAAUAUAAGAAAUUUGACCUGCCCACUGAAAUUAUAUUAAAGGGCCGCGGUAUAAUGACUGUGCAAAGGUAGCAUAAUCAUUAGUCUUUUAAAUGAAGGCUUGUAUGAAUGGUUGGACGAGGUGAAUUCUGUUUUAUAUUAAAAUAUUGAAUUUAGAAUUUAAGUAAAAAUACUUAAAUUUUUUUAAGGGACGAGAAGACCCUAUAGAGUUUCAUAAUAAAUAAAUUUAUCAAGUUUAAAAGAAUUUAUUGAUUAUUUUAUUAUUUAUUUAAUUGGGGUGAUUAGAGGAUAAAAUGAACUCUUUUUUAAUUUUUAAAUAAUAAUUAAUAGAUUAAUUGAUCCAUAAUAGAUGAUUAAAAGAUUAAAUUACCUUAGGGAUAACAGCAUAAUUUUUUUUGAGAGUUCUUAUCGAAAGAAAAGAUUAUGACCUCGAUGUUG